rnacentral:rRNA from 1 species
AUUGAACGCUGGCGGCAGGCCUAACACAUGCAAGUCGAACGGUAACAGAAAGCAGCUUGCUGCUUUGCUGACGAGUGGCGGACGGGUGAGUAAUGUCUGGGAAACUGCCUGAUGGAGGGGGAUAACUACUGGAAACGGUAGCUAAUACCGCAUAACGUCGCAAGACCAAAGAGGGGGACCUUCGGGCCUCUUGCCAUCGGAUGUGCCCAGAUGGGAUUAGCUAGUAGGUGGGGUAACGGCUCACCUAGGCGACGAUCCCUAGCUGGUCUGAGAGGAUGACCGGCCACACUGGAACUGAGACACGGUCCAGACUCCUACGGGAGGCAGCAGUGGGGAAUAUUGCACAAUGGGCGCAAGCCUGAUGCAGCCAUGCCGCGUGUAUGAAGAAGGCCUUCGGGUUGUAAAGUACUUUCAGCGGGGAGGAAGGGAGUAAAGUUAAUACCUUUGCUCAUUGACGUUACCCGCAGAAGAAGCACCGGCUAACUCCGUG